AGCAAACGCUGGCGGCAGGCCUAACACAUGCAAGUCGAACGAAGCCAUCGGGCUUAGUGGCGGACGGGUGAGUAACACGUGGGAACGUACCUUUUGGUUCGGAACAACUCAGGGGAACUUGAGCUAAUACCGGAUGAGCCCUUAGGGGGAAAGAUUUAUCGCCGAAAGAGCGGCCCGCGUUAGAUUAGCUAGUUGGUGAGGUAAAGGCUCACAAAGGCUACGAUCUAUAGCUGGUCUGAGAGGAUGAUCAGCCACACUGGGACUGAGACACGGCCCAGACUCCUACGGGAGGCAGCAGUGGGGAAUCUUGCGCAAUGGGCGAACGCCUGACGCAGCCAUGCCGCGUGAAUGAUGAAGGUCUUAGGAUUGUAAAAUUCUUUUACCAGGGACGAUAAUGACGGUACCUGGAGAAAAAGCCCCGGCUAACUUCGUGCCAGCCGCCGCGGUAAAAC
rnacentral:rRNA from 1 species